GAUGGCAUGCCAUGCCUUUUGAUGGCUUUGACUUUGACCAAAAUUUUUCUUUUUUUUCUUCAUUUUUUAAUGUAUCCCUGCCAUGUCCCUCAUAUCUUCCCCUCCAUAUUGUGUCUGCCUCCUUGAUUUUUCCCCUGCUUUUGCAACAGCUCUGAGGUUUGUUCUGGCCUCUUUUGGUCCUUGGCACUACACAUCAUUCCUGCCCAGACCACUUUCUCAUAGUCACAAAAUUUCCCAAAUUUUUUUUUUUUUUUCCUUCAGUUUCAAUUCCUUUGAUGGAAUCUCCAUUUCAGAGUGCUCCUUAGUCCUUCUUAUUUGUUUUGGCCUUCAGCGGGGAUCAAUUUUGCAAGCCUAGAGGUAUGUCAUGCGUUUCCCUGCACUGGAUGGCAUGCCAUGCCUUUUGAUGGUUUUGACUUUGACCAAAAUUUUUAUUUUUUUUUCUUCAUUUUUUAAUGUAUCCCUGCCAUGUCCCUCAUAUCUUCCCCUCCAUAUUGUGUCUGCCUCCUUGAUUUUUCCCCUGCUUUUGCAACAGCUCUGAGGUUUGUUCAGGCCUCUUUUGGUCCUUGGCACUACACAUCAUUCCUGCCCAGACCACUUUCUCAUAGUCAUUACAUCUCCCCAUUUUCUGGAUUUUUGGGGGUUUUUUUCAAUUGCAUUUCUUUAGAUCAUAUCUUCUUUCUGGAGUGUUUCUGAGCCUUUCUUUGCAGGGUCGCAAGAUUUCGUUUCCCGUCCCGAAAGGAAAUGAAAUUUCCUUUCGGGACGGGAAACGAAAUCUUGCGAAUUCAAUAGGAACCAAGGGGUGAAGCUUUGGUGCAAAUCCCUCCUCUGGAUGGCAUGCCAUGCAGAAUGAUGAUUUUGACUUUGACCAAAAUUUUUCUUUUUUUUUGUUCAUUUUUUAAUGUAUCCCUGCCAUGUCCCUCAUAUCUUCCCCUCCAUAUUGUGUCUGCCUCCUUGAUUUUUCCCCUGCUUUUGCAACAGCUCUGAGGUUUGUUCAGGCCUCUUUUGGUCCUUGACACUACACAUCAUUCCUGCCCAGACCACUUUCUCAUAGUCACAAAAUUUCCCAAAUUUUUUUUUUUUUCCUUCAGUUUCAAUUCCUUUGAUGGAAUCUCCAUUUCAGAGUGCUCCUUAGUCCUUCUUAUUUGUUUUGGCCUUCAAGGGGGAUCAAUUUUGCAAGCCUAGAGGUAUGUCAUGAAUGUACCCACACUGGAUGGCAUGCCAUGCCUUUUGAUGGCUUUGAUUUUGGCCGAGAUUUUUUUUUUCUUCAUUUUUUUAAGAAUCCACGCCACAACCCUCAUAUUUUCCCCUCCAAUUUGUGUCUGCCCUCGUGAUUUUUUUCCUGCUUUUGCAACAGCUCUGAGGUUUGUUCUGGCCUCUUUUGGUCUUUGGCAAUACACAUCAUUUCCACCCAGACCACUUUCUCAUAGUCACAAAAUUUCCCAAAUUUUUUUUUUUUUUCCUUCAGUUUCAAUUCCUUUGAUGGAAACUCCAUUUCAGAGUGCUCCUUAGUCCUUCUUAUUUGUUUUGGCCUUCAGCGGGGAUCAAUUUUGCAAGACUAGAGGUAUGUCAUGCGUUUCCCGGCACUGGAUGGCAUGCCAUGCCUUUUGAUGGCUUUCAUUUUGACCAAAAUUUUUCUUUUUUUUUCUUCAUUUUUUAAUGUAUCCCUGCCAUGUCCCUCAUAUCUUCCCCUCCAUAUUGUGUCUGCCUCCUUGAUUUUUCCCCUGCUUUUGCAACAGCUCUGAGGUUUGUUCUGGCCUCUUUUGGUCCUUGACACUACACAUCAUUCCUGCCCAGACCACUUUCUCAUAGUCACAAAUCUUCCCAAAUUUUUUUUUUUUUCCUUCAGUUUCAAAUCCUUUGAUGGAAUCUCCAUUUCAGAGUGCUCCUUAGUCCUUCUUAUUUGUUUUGGCCUUCAGGGGGGAUCAAUUUUGCAAGCCUAGAGGUAUGUCAUGCGUUUCCCUGCACUGGAUGGCAUGCCAUGCCUUUUGAUGGCUUUCAUUUUGGCCGAGAUUUUUUUUUUCUUCAUUUUUUUAAGAAUCCACACCACAGCCCUCAUAUUUUCCCCUCCAAUUUGUGUCUGCCUCCUUGAUUUUUCCCCUGCUUUUGCAACAGCUCUGAGGUUUGUUCUGGCCUCUUUUGGUCCUUGGCACUACACAUCAUUUCCACCCAGACCACUUUCUCAUAGUCACAAAAUUUCCCAAAUUUUUUUUUUUUUCCUUCAGUUUCAAUUCCUUUGAUGGAAUCUCCAUUUCAGGGUGCUCCUUAGUCCUUCUUAUUUGUUUUGGCCUUCAGCGGGGAUCAAUUUUGCAAGACUAGAGGUAUGUCAUGCGUUUCCCUGCAAUGGAUGGCAUGCCAUGCCUUUUGAUGGCUUUCAUUUUGACCAAAAUUUUUCUUUUUUUUCUUCAUUUUUUAAUGUAUCCCUGCCAUGUCCCUCAUAUCUUCCCCUCCAUAUUGUGUCUGCCUCCUUGAUUUUUCCCCUGCUUUUGCAACAGCUCUGAGGUUUGUUCUGGCCUCUUUUGGUCCUUGGCACUACACAUCAUUUCCACCCAGACCACUUUCUCAUAGUCACAAAAUUUCCCAAUUUUUUUUUUUUUUCCUUCAGUUUCAAUUCCUUUGAUGGAAACUCCAUUUCAGAGUGCUCCUUAGUCCUUCUUAUUUGUUUUGGCCUUCAGCGGGGAUCAAUUUUGCAAGACUAGAGGUAUGUCAUGCGUUUCCCUGCACUGGAUGGCAUGCCAUGCCUUUUGAUGGUUUUGACUUUGACCAAAAUUUUUCUUUUUUUUUCUUCAUUUUUUAAUGUAUCCCUGCCAUGUCCCUCAUAUCUUCCCCUCCAUAUUGUGUCUGCCUCCUUGAUUUUUCCCCUGCUUUUGCAACAGCUCUGAGGUUUGUUCUGGCCUCUUUUGGUCCUUGGCACUACACAUCAUUCCUGCCCAGACCACUUUCUCGUAGUCAUUACAUCUCCCCAUUUUCUGGAUUAUUGGGGGUUUUUUCAAUUGCAUUUCUUUAGAUCAUAUCUUCUUUCUGGAGUGUUUCUGAGCCUUUCUUUGCAGGGUCGCAAGAUUUCGUUUCCCGUCCCGAAAGGAAAUGAAAUUUCCUUUCGGGACGGGAAACGAAAUCUUGCGAAUUCAAUAGGAACCAAGGGGUGAAGCUUUGGUGCAAAUCCCUCCUCUG